GUCUACGGCCAUACCACCCUGGACGCGCCCGAUCUCGUCUGAUCUCGGAAGCUAAGCAGGGUCGGGCCUGGUUAGUACUUGGAUGGGAUAUCAUUCUCCAUCUGAGAUGCUUUCUGGGGAGCCCCCGCUGUUCUCA
rnacentral:rRNA from 1 species